AAAUAAAUAUAAAUAAAGCUUUGUAAAGAAUGUCUAUUUAUUGUCGAUUAAAAAUCGACGUAAUCACCAUAACCUAAAUUAAAUAAUCUGAAAGUCGACUUAUUGUCGGCCAAAAGUCAACCUCGUCGCCAUAACCAAGCAAAAUAUGUCGACUUAUAGUUAUCAUAAAGUCGACUUUAAGUUGACUGAUAUGGCUGACUUAUAGCCAACUAUAGUCGGGACAUUUGUCGACUAUUAGUCGACUAUAAGUUGACAUUCAAUCUAAUUUUAAAGUCGACUUUAGGCUUUUUCUGCCGACUUAUAGUCAACUAAUAGUCGGCUUUGUGCUAUUUGGGGAGUCUUCAUCUACCGGAAUUUUAUCCGAAACUUGGAGCUUUUGCUCCCGAAUUCGUUCACUUUUUUUGAACGAUCGAUACGACAUUGCAGUACUUUUACUCCUCGACUUUUUUCGUCCACUUUUGAGCGAUCGACAACGACAUUGGAGUAUUUUAACUCCCCGAAUUGGUUCAUUUUGAACAACAUACAAACGACACACACAAAAUCGACGGAAUUCUCCCUAUCAGCUUGGUUGCCUCACCACAAAACGUCGGAGUUGAUCGUCUGGAGGUGGCGUCUGAUAAUGGCGAGAUUAUAAAAUAUUGUAGCUCUGAAGGUAACACACCGCGUAGGAUAAUUUAUUCAAAACAGAACAUCAGUUACUUUCAGAUAUGUAUAUGAUAAUAUGCUUUAUAUUUUGUAUAGCUCGAUGCCAUCUUAUCAGGUAUUAGCGAUAAUCAAGAAACGUCGGAAACGCUCGAUCAUCGCACAGCGCGUAAAGCGCGAAAGAGUACGAAAAUAUUUCUGUUUUCUUCUCACACUAUGUCGUGAGCGCAAGAGAGACAAUAAUAUUUCUAUCCUUUUCUAUCGUUUCCAGCUGGCCGAACUUCGAGCGCACAUGUACGUGUCUCUCCUUUGUAUGCGUGCCAUGCGUCUCUCCUCAUAGUCGGUCCUUCCAAUCAGGGGAACAUUCCGACUUUCAAGUCAUCGAUUUUGCUGAAUUUUUAUUAAAAUGUUGUAUUAAUAUAGAUGUAACAAUAUAUAGUAAUAUAUUAUUCAGAGAUAAUGUACUUUUCAACUAUUGAUGAGAAA